CUAAGGUAGCGAAAUUCCUUGUCGGGUAAGUUCCGACCUGCACGAAUGGCGUAACGACUUCCCCACUGUCUCAACUAGAGGCCCAGCGAAAUUGGAGUGCGCGUGAAGAUACGCGCUACCCGCGGAAGGACGAAAAGACCCCGUGAACCUUUACUGUAGCUUGACAUUGGGUUUUGAGUAAUAUUGCGUAGGAUAGGUGGGAGAUGUUGAUGCGUGCAUUCUGGUGUACGUGGAGUCGUCCUUGAAAUACCACCCUAU
rnacentral:rRNA from 1 species